CCUACGGGAGGCAGCAGUGGGGAAUAUUGCACAAUGGGGGAAACCCUGAUGCAGCGACGCCGCGUGAGUGAAGAAGUUAUUCGUUAUGUAAAGCUCUAUCAGCAGGGAAGAAAAUGACGGUACCUGAGUAAGAAGCCCCGGCUCACUACGUGCCAGCAGCCGCGGGAAUACGUAGGGGGCAAGCGGUAUCCGGAUUUACUGGGUGUAAAGGGAGCGUAGACGGCAGUGCAAGGCUGGAGGGAAAGGGGGGGGCGAAACCCCCGGACUGCUCUGGAAACUGUACGGCUGGAGUGCAGGAGAGGUAAGUGGAAUUCCUGGUGUAGCGGUGAAAUGCGUAGAUAUUAGGAGGAACACCAGUGGCGAAGGCGGCUUACUGGACUGUAACUGACGUUGAGGCACGAAAGCGUGGGGAGCAAACAGGAUUAGAUACCCUAGUAGUC
rnacentral:rRNA from 1 species